AUUGAACGCUAGCGGGAUGCUUUACACAUGCAAGUCGAGCGAGCGGCGGACGGGUGAGUAAUGUAUGGGGACUGCACGAUAGAGGGGGAUAACUACUGGAAACGGUAGCUAAUACCGCAUACUAUCGGAUAACCCAUAUGGUAUUAGCUAGUAGGUGAGGUAAUGGCUCACGUAGGUGACGAUCACUAGCUGGUCUGAGAGGAUGAUCAACCACACUGGGAGUGAGACACGGCCCAGACUCCUACGGAGGCAGCAGUGGGGAAUAUUGCACAAAGGGCGCAAGCCUGAUGCAGCCAUGCCGCGUGUAUGAAGAAGGCCCUAGGGUUGUAAAGUACUUUCAGUCGGGAGGCGUUACCGACAGAAGAAGCACCGGCUAACUCCGUGCCAGCAGCCGCGGUAAUAC
rnacentral:rRNA from 1 species